rnacentral:misc_RNA from 1 species
UUUUUUUUUUUUUUUUUUUCCUCUGCUCAUCCAUCUUUCUCUCUUUCUCUCUUUUAGCUGGUGGGGUGCAUAAUUUGUUUUUGACUUUAAAAGAUCGACACUUGAUUUUUGCUUUCAAGAUUGCUGUUGUUCAAAAGGUGCCUUUUCCUUUCUUUCUUGUAAUUUCUUUUUGUUGCAAUUAUUUAUACCAUUAUUUUCACCUACUUGCCAUUGUUACACUUUCAUUUUCCGUUUCUCUGUUGUCUUUCUCUUUUCCUAUUAAUAUACAUCUGGGUAGUUCACUCUUUUGGCUUUGGGUCCUUGCAUUUUGAGCCUUUUCCCUCUGGUUUCUUGUCACCUCAGUGAGUUUCUGCGAUUUGGGAUCUGGGUUCUACUUAGAUUUGGCUAUUUGUGCUGCUUUUUGUACAUUUGAUUUAUUCCUGAAUAAUUCCUUUUUUUCCUUGUUUUUCUAUUUUUAUAGAGAUAGAGAGAGAGAUUUUUUUAGAGUGAGAAGGAAGAUUCAUGGCUGGAGGUGGAGGAGGAGGUGGUGGAGGAAAGGCAGAGGAGCCACAGCCACAUCCGCCAAAGGAGCAGCUUCCAAACAUUUCUUAUUGCAUUACCAGUCCUCCCCCGUGGCGUAAGUAUAUUUUGAUCAUUUCUCAAUGUCUGUGCUCUUCUAUUUGAUGGUGCUUAGAUUCUAAAUCCUGUGUUGAAUUUUUUUUUCUUUGAUACAAAAUUCUCUGUUGAGUUUUAAGGUAAGUGCUAUUUGGGUAUGUUUUAGGUAAGGUUUUUAUAUUUGUUAAUUGUUUUUUUGUUAGGGUAUGCAUCUUGUUUUAGUUGAAAGUUACCUUUUGAGCUACCUUUCUCUCUCACUUUAUGGUAUCUAUCUACCCCUUUUCAAAAGGUUAAAUGCCGUUCCGUAGAAAAUAAACCCUACUGUCUUGCAGAUUGAAGAUUCUGGUCGUAUUG